UCAGUAGACCUUAGUGGUCAUACUAGUCAGUCCAAUGACCUUCUCAUAUUGUCAGAAACCUCCUUUCAACUGUCUAAAAGCAAAGGACUAAAGAGUAGAAAACUGGGGCAAAUAUGUAACGAUACUUUCUCAUGUUACUUUUCUUCUUCCAGCAAUCUGCAUCUGAAGGACUCACUGAGCCACAAGCAAUGCUUUGUUUAACUCUGACAUGAGCAUCGACUCAACUUGCAGGAGGAUUGUUCCAUGAUGUUACUGGACACUGAGAUGAGGCUGACUGGCUGGUAGCUCCCAUGGUCCUCCUUAUUAUCCUCUUUAAAAAUGGAUGCUGAUAAUUGGUGCUGGCGUUGCUGGGCUGACUGCAGCAAUAGCUGCCAAAGCAAUGGGAGUUACUGUCAAGGGAUUUGACACCAGAACAGUGCUGUCCUAAGUGGUGAUAUACCUAAGAGGAUGAGACCAUUUCCAAAAUGCAUGAAGAUGUAAUCAACAUUAACUUUUUUUUCUUUCAUUAUCUCUUCAGGGGUCAUAUUUUCAACUCAUUUAUUUAGUUCUGAGUACAUUUUACUUUUUGAAUAGAAAGUUAUAAUUACAUAAUGAUCUCAU